rnacentral:rRNA from 1 species
AUACGUAGGUGACAAGCGUUAUCCGGAUUUACUGGGCGUAAAGGGCGCGCAGGCGGUAUAUCAAGUCAGCUGUCAAAGACUGGGGCUCAACCCUGGUAUGCGGUUGAAACUGAUAUGCUGGAGUGCUGUAGAGGCAAGUGGAAUUCCCAGUGUAGCGGUGAAAUGCGUAGAUAUUGGGAAGAACACCGGUGGCGAAGGCGACUUGCUGGGCAGCAACUGACGCUGAGGCGCGAAAGCCAGGGGAGCAAACGGGAUUAGAUACCCCGGUAGUCCUGGCCGUAAACGAUGAAUGCUAGGUGUGUGUGUAGAGAUACAUGCGUGCCGGAGUUAACGCGAUAAGCAUUCCGCCUGGGGAGUACGGUCGCAAGAUUGAAACUCAAAUGAAUCGGCGGGG